rnacentral:pre_miRNA from 1 species
GGGCAGUGUAAUGUUAGCUGGACGCGCGUGAUCACGAACCGGCCCCAGCUGAUAUUCACUUCCUCA